UAAGAAAAUUAUACAGGGUCCCAAAGAGC
rnacentral:piRNA from 1 species